rnacentral:lncRNA from 1 species
AGAAAUGAAAAGAGCAAAAAGAAAACACUACUGUGUAUUAAAACAACAGCUUACCGGCCAGCACACACGGUAUAUAUAUUCUAGCUCUUGCUUAAAACUGACACCUGCCGAAAGAGCACAAACAAAACUGCCCCCCAUCCUCUUGGGGAAUUAACCCCGGAUUCGUUCGUCGUGCCGUGAGAGCAUGGAAAAUGACGGCCGUUUUUUUUUUUUUGAACGGGGUUGGCGUCGCCAUUGAACGCGGUUCGAUCCGAGAGGGCAUUUUACAAAUCGCUGACCCAAUUUCAUUUUCUCGCGUUCCACGCCAACAUCGGAUUUUCUCGCUCAAUCGCGACACGAACGCGGAAACAUGCAGGACGUACCUGAGACGUGCAGGUGCGGCACAAGCUUGUCCGCGCCGCGCGCAAUCAGCUUCCCGUGUGACUCGUUUACAAUAAUAACGAAUAAUGGUCUUUUGAACUAGCUAUUUGCAUUUCUCAUAAUCUAUUUCUUUAUAAACUGGUAUAUGAUGACUUGUAGGGGUAUCAUUUUUUUUUCUUAAUUUAAGUAUGUGAAACCUCAACUCUUUUAGUACAGUUAAAUAUCUAUUCUUAUCUAUUAUUUAUGACAUACAUGUUUAAAUUUUACAUGUAGUUAUCAUAUACCGUUAUUAGAACUUGCCAAGUGUGCAAGGGGGUGUGUGUCACGGGCCUGUAGCAGCCCACCCCCAUGCCAACUGUACGCCCGCAACCGCAAGGCUUGUGCAGCACACGGCCCACGCACCUCCGGCUUCCGCCCUUAUCCAGCCCGCGAACGGUCUUGUUUAGUUACAUUUUUUUUUUCAAAAUCGACACUGUAAUAUUUUUAUUUGUAUUUAACAAAUAUUGUUUAUUUAUAUACUAACUAGAUUUAAAAAAUCCAUCUCAUAUAAUACAGAUAAAUUGUUCAAUUAAUUUUUUUAAUCUAUAUUUAAGGUUUUGUACAUAUAGCGUAAGAUUUGGUGUGACGAAGAAUCUAAAAGUUUUUAUAAAAAAUUAUGAGGAACUAAAUAAGGCCAUAUUAUUUCACUUUCAUCUACAGCA